rfam:Prunus persica cultivar Lovell chromosome G6, whole genome shotgun sequence.
UUUGGGGAGCUCACUGACUUCGGAGUCAUGGGAACUCCGAAGUUAAGCGAGUUUGGGCUAGAGCAAUCCUAGGAUGGGUGACCCACUAGAAAGUUGCCCAUGAGUUCCCAGAA